rnacentral:tRNA from 1 species
CCUCCGUAGCUUAAAAUAAAGCAUAACAUUGAGAUUAUUGGAAUGGCACAAAAAGGGGGGCCAGUUUGGAA